AUUGAACGCUGGCGGCAGGCCUAACACAUGCAAGUCGAGCGGAUGACGGGAGCUUGCUCCUGGAUUCAGCGGCGGACGGGUGAGUAAUGCCUAGGAAUCUGCCUGGUAGUGGGGGACAACGUUUCGAAAGGAACGCUAAUACCGCAUACGUCCUACGGGAGAAAGCAGGGGACCUUCGGGCCUUGCGCUAUCAGAUGAGCCUAGGUCGGAUUAGCUAGUUGGUGAGGUAAUGGCUCACCAAGGCGACGAUCCGUAACUGGUCUGAGAGGAUGAUCAGUCACACUGGAACUGAGACACGGUCCAGACUCCUACGGGAGGCAGCAGUGGGGAAUAUUGGACAAUGGGCAAAAGCCUGAUCCAGCCAUGCCGCGUGUGUGAAGAAGGUCUUCGGAUUGUAAAGCACUUUAAGUUGGGAGGAAGGGUUGUAGAUUAAUACUCUGCAAUUUUGACGUUACCGACAGAAUAAGCACCGGCUAACUCUGUGCCAGCCGCCGCUGUAA
rnacentral:rRNA from 1 species